GGCAGAAAAGUAAACAGUUAGUUUAUUCUCUUAUUAUUUUCUCUCUCCUAUUCUCUCUCUUCAUCAAAGUCACGUUUAAACUCCAAAAACAAGAAAGAAGUUUUCUUCCUUUCCAACUAGCAUUGGUGGAGUGUUGAUCCGGGUUGGUGGACUAAGUAGAGGAAUCACAUCUGAGAUUCUCAAUCCGGGUUAUUCAAGCUUUGUGGAAAUCACGCUACAAAGAUAUCAUGUCUAAUAACAACAACAACAACUCCGGUUUCAACAUUCGUCCUUUUCUGGAAAAGGACAGACUGAAUGGUGAAAAUUUCCUUAAUUGGGAAAGGACCUUAAGACUCGUUCUGAGGUUUGAGGGUCGAGAGGACGUCUUAGAUACCCCGCUUCCUGUAAUAACUGAUGAAUCAA